rnacentral:miRNA from 1 species
AAAGGCAAACUCACAGAAUCAUU